rnacentral:rRNA from 1 species
GGAGGAAAGUAGGGGAUCGAAAGACCUUAUGCUUUUGGAGCGGCCGGUGUCUGAUUAGCUAGUUGGUAGGGUAAUGGCUUACCAAGGCGACGAUCAGUAGUUGGUCUGAGAGGACGACCAGCCACACUGGGACUGAGACACAGCCCAGACUCCUACGGGAGGCAGCAGUGGGGAAUUUUGGACAAUGGGCGCAAGCCUGAUCCAGCAAUGCCGCGUGAGUGAAGAAGGCCUUCGGGUUGUAAAGCUCUUUCAGUUGAGAAGAAAAAGUCGUGACUAAUAAUCAUGAUUCAUGACGGUAUCAACAGAAGAAGCACCGGCUAACUACGUGCCAGCAGCCGCGGUAAUACGUAGGGUGCAAGCGUUAAUCGGAAUUACUGGGCGUAAAGGGUGCGCAGGCGGUUCUGCAAGUCAGAUG